GUGCCAGCAGCCGCGGUAAUACGAAGGAUGCAAGCGUUAUCCGGAAUUACUGGGCGUAAAGGGCGUCUAGGCGGUUGAGCAAGUCACCUGUAAAAGUCCACGGCUUAACUGUGGAAUGUCUGGUGAUACUGUUUGACUUGGGUACAGGAGAGGAGGGUGGAACUCACAGUGUAGCGGUGGAAUGCGUAGAUACUGUGAGGUACCCCGAUGGCGAAGGCAACCCUCUGGCCUGUUACCGACGCUGAAGCGCGAAAGCGUGGGGAGCGAAGGGGAUUAGAUACCCCCGUAGUCCACGCCGCAAACGAUGUUCACUGGGUGUCGGUCAUUAAUUAGAUCGGUGCCGGAGCUAACGCAUUAAGUGAACCGCCUGGGGACUACGGCCGCAAGGCUAAAACUCAAGAGAAUUGACGGGGCCCUGCACAAGCGGUGGAGCACGUGGUUUAAUUCGAUGAUAAGCGAAGAACCUUACCUGGGCUUGACAUACUAGCAGUAGGAGCC
rnacentral:rRNA from 1 species